rnacentral:sRNA from 1 species
CGAUCUGCUGCGGACUGAUGAAAUGGAUAUGGGUAUCAAUACCACCUGCUGUGACGAUCAUUCCUUCUCCCGCCAGUGCCUCUGUAGACGCACCGACCGUCAUUCCAGGUGUCACUCCGUCCAUGAUAUCCGGGUUUCCUGCUUUUCCGAUCCCUGCGAUCUUUCCAUCCUUGAUUCCGAUAUCAGCCUUGAUGAUCCCUGUGGUAUCCACGAUCAGGGCAUUGGUGAUCACCAGAUCCAGAUCGCCGUCACGGCUGCAGGUUUUUACAGAUUGUCCCAUUCCGUCACG